UCACAGCCCUCCGCGCGCUGGAGGUGCUUGACACCGGCUCGAGCGGCCCGUCUGGCUCCUCAGCUGUCAUUUGAAAUGUAAAGCGAAUGAAAAUAGAUACACAGGCAUCCUCAAUUAGCACGACUGAAGACAUUUUGUGCCGUUUUCCCCCCUGUUCUUUUUAUGAAGCGGUAUUGGUCAUGAAAGGACGCCGUGUUUUUCUAAAAGAUCCAGAUGCAGAGAGGAGUCAGGAGCAGAGUUGUUUUUAAUCACCGGGGACGGCAGGAGUCGACUUCCUCUGAAGUUUGACCGUAAAGGUGAUUUAAACCAAACAGCUAAACAAGGGAAGUUGCACAUUCCUGUGCAAACAGAUCCAAUAUUUCCUUUCGCAGGGGAGGUUAACAGCAGACAGGAUAUGCAAUAUUUCAUAUGAAAUUGGAAACAGGCCCGCUUGAGCAAAACCAGGGCCUCUAGUAAACCAGACUGCAGGAGAGGGUCUCGUAAACAUGAGGCAUGGAUUAUUCCAGAAUAGGCCCGGGGUCAGAGAUGCAGUUGGAAGGCACUGGCAAAGCGCAUCGAAUUAUUAAGACUGGAGGUAAAAGCCUGUCAUGGUCUGUAUGUGUACGCCCUCAUUUGUGGAGUACGGAUUUGGCCAGCCUCACCCCCGCAGUGCAGCCAAGUCCCUAUCUCACCCCCGCAGAAGCCAAAGCAUCAAACCUCCUCCACGUCUGCGGCGUCUGUACCCUCCAGCCACCUCCCCAACACUCGUUCCUCUACCACACCUUCUCUCCGCUCACAUAAUCAUCUUCCUAGCCUUCUGGUCAUCUGUGGAGCCUAUUUUUGCAUGUAUUUGGUACCGGGUGCUUUUCUUCUUCCAAAAUAGGCAAUUUAGUUCAGUAACAGCUAUGAAUCACGAUUUGCUACUUUCUAUUGCUAAUCAGAUUUAUUUUUCCGUAAGUGUAUUUGACCCUGUCUGUGAAAUCCAGACUAAAGUCUCAUAAUCUAAUUUUGAGAUUAAGUACUGUAAAAAAA